AGAGUUUGAUCCUGGCUCAGAACGAACGCUGGCGGCGUGCCUAAUACAUGCAAGUCGAGCGGACAGAAGGGAGCUUGCUCCCGGAUGUUAGCGGCGGACGGGUGAGUAACACGUGGGUAACCUGCCUGUAAGACUGGGAUAACUCCGGGAAACCGGAGCUAAUACCGGAUAGUUCCUUGAACCGCAUGGUUCAAGGAUGAAAGACGGUUUCGGCUGUCACUUACAGAUGGACCCGCGGCGCAUUAGCUAGUUGGUGGGGUAAUGGCUCACCAAGGCGACGAUGCGUAGCCGACCUGAGAGGGUGAUCGGCCACACUGGGACUGAGACACGGCCCAGACUCCUACGGGAGGCAGCAGUAGGGAAUCUUCCGCAAUGGACGAAAGUCUGACGGAGCAACGCCGCGUGAGUGAUGAAGGUUUUCGGAUCGUAAAGCUCUGUUGUUAGGGAAGAACAAGUGCGAGAGUAACUGCUCGCACCUUGACGGUACCUAACCAGAAAGCCACGGCUAACUACGUGCCAGCAGCCGCGGUAAUACGUAGGUGGCAAGCGUUGUCCGGAAUUAUUGGGCGUAAAGGGCUCGCAGGCGGUUUCUUAAGUCUGAUGUGAAAGCCCCCGGCUCAACCGGGGAGGGUCAUUGGAAACUGGGAAACUUGAGUGCAGAAGAGGAGAGUGGAAUUCCACGUGUAGCGGUGAAAUGCGUAGAGAUGUGGAGGAACACCAGUGGCGAAGGCGACUCUCUGGUCUGUAACUGACGCUGAGGAGCGAAAGCGUGGGGAGCGAACAGGAUUAGAUACCCUGGUAGUCCACGCCGUAAACGAUGAGUGCUAAGUGUUAGGGGGUUUCCGCCCCUUAGUGCUGCAGCUAACGCAUUAAGCACUCCGCCUGGGGAGUACGGUCGCAAGACUGAAACUCAAAGGAAUUGACGGGGGCCACCACAAGCGGUGGAGCAUG
rnacentral:rRNA from 1 species